GCCUGGGUGGCGGAAUGGUAGACGCGGCGGACUCAAAAUCCGCUUCCUUCAGUGGAGUAAGGGUUCGAGUCCCUUCUCAGGCACCA
rnacentral:tRNA from 1 species